AAUGAACGUUGGCGGCGUGGAUUAGGCAUGCAAGUCGCGCGAGAAACGUAGCAAUACGUGGAAAGCGGCGUAAGGGAGAGUAAUACAUAGUUAGCUACCCUCGGGACCGGGAUAGCGGCGGGAAACUGCCGGUAAUACCAGAUGACGUCUUCGGACCAAACGUGUAAACCGGCCCGAGGGGGUGACUAUGUCCUAUCAGCUAGUUGGCGGUGUAACGGACCACCAAGGCUAAGACGGGUAUGGGGCGUGAGAGCGUGCCCCCACUCACUGGGACUGAGACACUGCCCAGACACCUACGGGUGGCUGCAGUCGAGAAUCUUCGGCAAUGGGCGCAAGCCUGACCGAGCGACGCCGCGUGCGGGAUGAAGGCCUUCGGGUUGUAAACCGCUGUCGUAGGGGAGGAAGGCUCCGUGCAGAACGGAGUUUGACCGAUCCUAGGAGGAAGGGCCGGCUAAUCUCGUGCCAGCAGCCGCCGUAAAAC
rnacentral:rRNA from 1 species